rnacentral:rRNA from 1 species
GAUGAACGCUGGCGGCGUGCCUAAUACAUGCAAGUCGAGCGAACAGACGAGGAGCUUGCUCCUCUGACGUUAGCGGCGGACGGGUGAGUAACACGUGGAUAACCUACCUAUAAGACUGGGAUAACUUCGGGAAACCGGAGCUAAUACCGGAUAAUAUAUUGAACCGCAUGGUGCAAUAGUGAAAGACGGUUUUGCUGUCACUUAUAGAUGGAUCCGCGCCGCAUUAGCUAGUUGGUAAGGUAACGGCUUACCAAGGCAACGAUGCGUAGCCGACCUGAGAGGGUGAUCGGCCACACUGGAGCUGGGACACGGUCCAGACUCCUACGGGAGGCAGCAGUAGGGAAUCUUCCGCAAUGGGCGAAAGCUUGACGGAGCAACGCCGCGUGAGUGAUGAAGGUCUUCGGAUCGUAAAACUCUGUUAUUAGGGAAGAACAAAUGUGUAAGUAACUAUGCACGUCUUGACGGUACCUAAUCAGAAAGCCACGGCUAACUACGUG